GGAAGCUUGCUCCCUGAAGUCAGCGGCGGACGGGUGAGUAACACGUGGGCAACCUGCCUGUAAGACUGGGAUAACUCCGGGAAACCGGGGCUAAUACCGGAUAAUUCUUUCCCUCACAUGAGGGAAAGCUGAAAGAUGGUUUCGGCUAUCACUUACAGAUGGGCCCGCGGCGCAUUAGCUAGUUGGUGAGGUAACGGCUCACCAAGGCAACGAUGCGUAGCCGACCUGAGAGGGUGAUCGGCCACACUGGGACUGAGACACGGCCCAGACUCCUACGGGAGGCAGCAGUAGGGAAUCUUCCGCAAUGGACGAAAGUCUGACGGAGCAACGCCGCGUGAGUGAUGAAGGUUUUCGGAUCGUAAAACUCUGUUGUUAGGGAAGAACAAGUACCGGAGUAACUGCCGGUACCUUGACGGUACCUAACCAGAAAGCCACGGCUAACUA
rnacentral:rRNA from 1 species